rnacentral:rRNA from 1 species
CACGACGGUCGUGGAUGGCCUCCACGUCCCCCCCUCAUCCUAUAACUACGUCCACAGAAACCCUAGCCCCCAUCUCGCCCAGCCCUCUCUCGAUCCCCCUUCGUCCUCUUCCUUCGUCACUCGAAAUCGAGCUCAGAAAACUCAUGGUCACCACUGUCCCGUCGUUAUUGUCACGACCACUAGCAUUUAGGGCGUGCGGGAGCACGUCCAGGAGGUCCGCCGCGGCCAUCUUCGUCCGUACCGGGAACCAGAUCAAGCCGAGACUGUCCAUGUGCUCGCCAUCGAGCCCUUCUCUUCCGCGGACGUCACCACCUCGUCGGCGUUGCCACUGCUCCGGGCCACCUCCGACCUUCUAAGCUCGUCCACGAGAACCGGGAUGGUGGAGCCCAGGAGCCAGAUGCCACCUUCGACGACGACUGCUACUACACUGAGUGGGCCUACUACUACAUGGAGGCCGCCGAGAACCAGGAGUAGUUAGUACGCUCCCAGGCAGGAGGCCUUGCCUUUUUGAUUGAUGUUGCUUUUGUGCUAUCCUUCUUAAGGCAAACUUGUUUAACUCAUGUUUGUACUCAGAUAAUGUUGCUUCCGCUGACUCGUUUGUUUCGAGCUAAUGUAUUCGAGCCCUCGAGGCCCCUUUCUUGUAAUAUAAAGCUUGUAUUAUUUUAAUUUGUGUCUAGAGUUGUGUUGUGAUAUCUUCUCAUGAGUCCCUGAUCUUGAUCGUACACAUUUGCAUGUAUGAUUAGUGUACGAUUUAAUCGGGGGCAUCACAAGUUGGUAUCAGAGCCAACUGCCUAUAGGUAGCCCCCUUUCCAACUCCUUG